rnacentral:snRNA from 1 species
GUGCUCUUUUUGGCAGCACAUAGACUAAAAUUGGAACAAUUCAGAGAUUACCAUGGCCCCCAUGCAAGGAUGACAUGCAAGUUUGUGAAGUGUUCCAUAUUAAA